AAAGUUGUACAGACAGUUUGCUUUGAGAAUAUAUUGCUCUUGAUUCCUGCACUCCUGAAAUGAAUGCCUUAAGUACAUCUUCUCAAAUCACGUGUGUGUUUAUAAUAAUGAAACACUCCUUAUGCUUACUGGGAUGGGCUAUGUUUAUUAUUUUAUUCCAGAAAACAUCUGGUACAGUGACAUAAGGGAGACUUCCUGCUUGCACUUCCUGCCCUGGGGGAGUCAGUGCCUACCCUUGUGAUGAUUUCCUUAUUCAGAGGGAGCUACUUUCUCUGAUUUCACGUGCUCAAUAGGGAGAAAACAACACUUUUUAAAGGCAGGAAAAUGUGAUUCUGAAACCACAAACACUUGCAAAAGACGGCUUUAAAACCCUGCGACAGAAUGAGAACUGAGAGCUGAAGCAGCACGCUGAGCAGCAAGCA